GACGAACGCUGGCGGCGUGCUUAACACAUGCAAGUCGAACGGAAAGGCCCUGCUUUUGUGGGGUGCUCGAGUGGCGAACGGGUGAGUAACACGUGAGUAACCUGCCCUGACCUUGGGAUAACUUCAGGGAACCGGGGGUAAUACCGGAUAAGAAUUUCUGCCGCCGGGUGGGGGGUUGGAAGUUUCGGCGGUUGGGGAUGGACUCGCGGCUUAUCAGCCUGUUGGUGGGGUAGUGGCUUACCAAGGCUUUGACGGGUAGCCGGCCUGAGAGGGUGACCGGCCACAUUGGGACUGAGAUACGGCCCAGACUCCUACGGGAGGCAGCAGUGGGGAAUAUUGCACAAUGGGCGGAAGCCUGAUGCAGCAACGCCGCGUGCGGGAUGACGGCCUUCGGGUUGUAAACCGCUUUCGCCUGUGACGAAGCGUGAGUGACGGUAAUGGGUAAAGAAGCACCGGCUAACUACGUG
rnacentral:rRNA from 1 species